rnacentral:lncRNA from 1 species
CAACAAACGUUUAUUUCUCGAAGUUCUAGAGGCUGGAAGUCCACUGGCAGAUUCAGUGUCUGUGAAGGCCCUCUUCCUGCAGACUGCCCCACACCGGGGAAGGGCUAGGGACCCCUCUGGAGCCUCUUUGAUGAGGGCAUUAAUCCCAUUUUUGAGGGCUCUGCCCUCGUGACCUAACCACCUCCUGAAGUCUGCACCUCCUAAUCCCACCACACUGGGCAUUAGGAUCUAACAUAUGGGUGCUGUGGGAUACAAACAUUCAGACCAUGGCAAACGGAAAAAGGACAUGUCCUCCCUUCGUGAGGCGAUGAGUGCAAUCAGGCGGGCACCUUGAUAGCAGGAUGACGACAGAGUUCCUGUCCUUUCUGAAGGCUUCCGGUUUCUGUGUGUAAUAGAAGACGAGGUCAGAGGUUUGGGGCAAAUGGAGAGGGUUUUAAACAGCCACUGUGGAAGAUGGCAGGAGCUCAGAGCCAGCUAUACCCAGGAGAAGAAGGACAAUCAGACUGACCCGAGUUGGGGUUUCCUGGCAGGUACAACAGAGAGACAGGUCAAGAGAAGUCAGGAUGUUAUCAAGAGAGUGGUCAAGGUGAGAUAUUGUGGGAUCCACGAGGGAGGGGAAGGAAGUGAAGACAGGAGGAGUGAGGUUAAAGAUCAGCUUGAGGUAAAAGAACGGGAAGUGUGAGUGAUAAACAAACAGUGGAAAGUAGAGGCCGCAGUGAGAAAGGGCUACCUGAAUUUCAUAACUCAGGGCUGAGAUUGUAAGAUCCGAUGUUGCCCCUGCUAACGGGCAUCUGAGACGGAGGGAGGUGACAUGACUGAGGGAGAAGAAAGGCAAGGAGCGGAGCAGAUGAGUGGUCUGUUGUGUGGCACAAGCAUGGCCAUAAAGACUGCAGAACAAAGGAGCGACUGGGGAGAUAUCUUGGAGUGGAAUUGCUCGGUCAUAUGGUAACUCUACGUUCAACUUUCUGAGGACCCGUAAACUGUUUCCACAGCGCUGCACAAUUUCACCUUCCCUCCAGCAGUGGAUGAGGGCUUCUUGCCUCUCCUGAAACAUCUGAAGGUCUGACCUCUUGGGCCCACAUUCCUGCGUGCCAGCAGUCCCCCUGAGCCGGGUCAGGGCACAGAGACUCUCCAGCUUGCCUAGU